GUGCUUGCUUCAGCAGCACAUAUACUAAAAUUGGAAUGAUACAGAGUAGAUUAGCAUGGCCCCUGGCAAGGAUGAUACGCAUUCAUGAAGCGUUCCAUAUUUUU
rnacentral:snRNA from 1 species